rnacentral:rRNA from 1 species
UACGUAGGGUGCAAGCGUUGUCCGGAAUUAUUGGGCGUAAAGAGCUCGUAGGCGGUCUGUCGCGUCGGCUGUGAAAUCCCGAGGCUCAACCUCGGGUUUGCAGUCGAUACGGGCAAACUAGAGUAUUGCAGGGGAGACUGGAAUUCCUGGUGUAGCGGUGAAAUGCGCAGAUAUCAGGAGGAACACCGGUGGCGAAGGCGGGUCUCUGGGCAAUAACUGACGCUGAGGAGCGAAAGCAUGGGGAGCGAACAGG